rnacentral:rRNA from 1 species
GGCUUAAAGAAUGUAAUAAUUUUAGGUCGAUCUGCCCAAUGAUAAUUUAAUUAAAUGGCUGCAGUAUAAUUAACUGUACAAAGGUAGCAUAAUAAAUUGUUUUUUAAUUGAAAACUAGAAUGAAAGAAUUAAUGAGAUAUAUACUGUCUCAUAUAUAUAUUGUGAAUUUAAAUUUUUAGUAAAAAUGCUAAAAUUAUUUUAUGGGACGAUAAGACCCUAUAGAAUUUUAUAUUUUUAUAUAAUGUAUUUUAUUAAACAUUUUAUUAUAUAAAAAUAUUUGAUUGGGAGGAUUAAUAAAUUUAUAAAACUUUAUUUAGAAAUUAAACUUUAAUUAAAGGAUAAUGUAAGGAUCUUGUAUUAAAAAUUAAAAGAAUAAAUUACCUUAGGGAUAACAGCGUAAUAUCUUUUUAAAGAUCAUAUUGAUAAAGAUGAUUGCGACCUCGAUGUUGAAUUAAGAUAAAUUUUAAAUGUAGAAGUUUAAUAAUUAAGUCUGUUCGACUUUUAAAAUCUUACAUGAUUUGAGUUCAAAUCGACGUGAGU